CAGUCGCCGCGGGAAUACAGAGGGUGCGAGCGUUAAUCGGAUUUACUGGGCGUAAAGCGUGCGUAGGCGGCUUCUUAAGUCGGAUGUGAAAUCCCUGAGCUUAACUUAGGAAUUGCAUUCGAUACUGGGAAGCUAGAGUAUGGGAGAGGAUGGUAGAAUUCCAGGUGUAGCGGUGAAAUGCGUAGAGAUCUGGAGGAAUACCGAUGGCGAAGGCAGCCAUCUGGCCUAAUACUGACGCUGAGGUACGAAAGCAUGGGGAGCAAACAGGAUUAGAUACCCCGGUAGUCCCUGUCUCUUAUAC
rnacentral:rRNA from 1 species